AACGAAAAGGCGGACGCACCCUGAUCAUCUGUCCUGUGACGGGCUCAGCCAUUGGAUCGCGAAUCUGCGUUCGCGCAUGCGUGGUCCUAGAGCUACGGUGACACUUCGCGUGCGGUGUAGGCGCAUCUUCGCUCUGUUGGCCGUGGCUUUAGUAAGCACACACCUGCCUGCUACUCUGGUUAUCGUGGCGACGGCAGGUCUGGAUUGCCAGACAGGUUUUUCUUUUUACCUCGAGGCUUUCUCUGAAGGGAGUCGGAGCAUUUAAAAGGCGGCCUCAAGGUGGAUUGAGUCGGGGGAGGAUUAGCAGUAUUUGCUUAGGUUGUAAAACCGCGACUUUAUCUAAUAAAUCGCCAUUCAAGGUGCAAAUACAAACUUGGAACAGAGAUGUAAAUGAAUUCCUCAAGGUCAGAGACUGUUUUUAUUCAUUUCUACAUCUCCAACACCUGGCAAAGUGCCUCGGCCAUAAAAGAUAAUCUGCCUCUGAAACCUUCCGUGGGCACAGAAAUUUCUGCAAGGAAAGCAUCAGCAACCAGAAUAAUUUGGUGAGGAAGAUUUGGCACAGAAUACCCUGACUGAGGUAUUGCUCCAAAAGGAGCAAUCCUCUGGGGUUAGGAGUCAAUUAUUAGGUGCCUACAAAACACUCUGUUAUUUCGACUAAACAUGCCUUGCUGUCAAGGAGAAGAAAGAACUGUGCACUGAAAACCAGAACAGCCAAAAAAGAAUGUGGCUGUGGUCAUGGGAAAGGUCUUUGAAUAACAGGGAAAAGGAGACAGGGCAGUUGAAGGAAGGAUAAGAAAAGGCUACUUCCUAGCAGGAAUUAAUAAACUAAUGUUUUUAUUAUUUAAUAGAAACCCAUUCCUUUCUUUCAAAUAAGGCAGAGAUAAGUUAGGAUUGGAUGUAGCUAUAUAGAUCCCUAUUUCUGGCACAGGCUGAUAGCAAUAAAGGAAGUCAGAACACAACCCCACUCUCACCCACAUCCCACUUUGCAAAAACCAUGACCCAAAUGCCUCUGUAGAUACUGGGCUGUGGACUGCUGGCAAAGCCUCAGGAGCCUUUGCUCUACUGAGUGAUCUACCUUUAGAUUGACAGCAGCGGCUGUGGAGUAACAUCUGAAUGUUGAUUGACAGUGCAGUUUGUGGGAAUAAAGCAGGGAGGGAAACCCUUUAACCAGUUUCCAUUUCUUGGUGUCUUAAAGUUUUCAUCUUACUAAAGAAUCAAACCGUUGUGUAAUCCAGAGGAAGAGCAUCCCUCAUCCUGGCAGCCCUGCUCUACCACAUCUGCCUAUCCAUAGUGAAAGACACCAUAUUUUUAAGAAAAUAUGAAAUGCAGAGAUGAAAACUAUUUUGGAGCAAAUGAUUUUAAAUAAAAAGGUUGCAUACUCAUUUUAAAUGAUUUUAAUUUUCUGAAUAUUAUGUUCCAACUCAAGAUAUUGCACAAUGCUUUAAUAUUACACUUGUUAUUUUUCUCACACUAGUGAGAUUUUGAUAAACAUAGUUGACUUUGGAAGUAACAGAGAAUGUUUUCAUUGGUUAAAUAAUUUCAAUGACCUGUGAGGAACUGAAAGCAAGCUAUUACAUUCAUAUAAAAGAUAAGUACAUAUCCAUAAAUUCACUUGGAUUCAAUGAAAAAUAAUAAACUUCUCGUGUACUUAAUAAAACUUAAAAGGAAACAAAAUUUUAAAUGGUGCAAAAAUAGAAUGUAUUUCUUAAAGUUUUGAAAACACUUAGACCUAAAAGAAUUCUAAGAAUAUCUGGCCACAUUAUAAGCCUCUUAUUUGUAAAAGCUAACACUUGAUAAUUUUAAAACAAAAUCUAGAUUAAAUAAAUAUAGUUCUGCAUUAUUAAAGUAACAAAAUCUGUGAUGGUAAGGUAAAAUUUCCCUAAAUAAUAUAAACAAAAAACAACACCGGAAAGCAAAUGUAUCACGUUAUGGCAUCGAUAAACAUUUCUGUUCAAAUGUGUGGAUCUACAGCAUUUUCUCUAGGUAACACACACAGUUGUUAUCACAUUAGUAUGGAAUAAAUGCUGAAAAAUUAAGAAAUACUAAUGGUUACUAGGCCAAAGUCAAUUCCAAAAAACUCAAUUCUUAUAAACUUUUAUUAUAGUGAUUUUUACUGUAUUACAACACUUUUUUUCUCUUUUUCCUUUGCUUUGUGAUUCAUAUUUUUAGCAGAGGCAUAGCACUGGAGAUAAAGAAGGGGAAAUAUGCUUCAGGUGCCAGUUGCGUUUUUUAACUUCCAUUUUGCACUUUUGCUAUUUUUAGACUUGUUGCUCAUCAGAUUCAUUAACACACCCUACUUUUGCUAUGUUUUUUUCCUUCAUUUCCAGGAAAACUCAACCACAGCAUUAGGAGAAAAGGCAAAAACUUCACAUUGCCUGAUACACCACUUAUUCUUGCUCUGCCACUGAUUUGUAGUAGCUGUGUAUUACUGCAGUAGCGCUGUUGUCUCUAUUAAUGCUUAGAGAUUCCACACCAUGAAUUUUUUUAUGGUCAUCCUAAGAUACAAUGAAUUCUUCACAUUUUGUGAAAAUUAUAGGCAUCUGACAGCUGGUGUAUUUAUCUACCAUCUUCAUCAAACUCGAAUAUUUUAUAAAAUACUUGAGAAAAGAUCUCUACCAAAGAUACCCUCAUGAAACACUCUCUUAUCAAAAAGAAAAGGGUAAAAUUAUGGAUUAGUUCAAUUGUACCUUGAACUAGAAACACUGAUUAUGAUUAUAUUUCAGAAAACAGUUAUAAUUAUUUCAUUAAAAAUGAUUCCCAUUUAGAAUGAUGACUGGAGACUUAUUUACAAGAAAAGAUAGAGAAAUUUUAUGAGCCUAGGAUUGUGCCAGGAUUGCCUGUGAGGGCAGUUUUUUCAAUUGCAUAUGCAUGUUGAGAUGGGACUAUUUAUGAUCUUAUUUCCUUAUUCAUUAGAGAAGGAGAUGACCAGUGUUUUCUGGGGGUUUUUUGGUUAAUUUUGCAUAUUCUCUUAUUUCAAAAUUAAUCUAAUUAAUUUUAUUCAUGUGUCACUCAGAUUGCAUUUGGGUUUAAACAGAGGACUUAAUCAUAGCAUGGACAGAAAAGGCUCACCAUCUAUCUAAAUGACUCUGAUUGCACCAUCAUCCUCAUUGUUCUUGUGGAGUCUCGCUCUGUCGCCCAGGCUGGGGUGGAGUGACGCGAUCUCGGCUCACCGCAAGCUCCGCCUCCCGGGUUCACGCCAUUCUCCUGUCUCAGCCUCCCCAGUAGCUGGGACUACAGGCGUCCACCACCACGCCCGGCUAAUUUUUUGUACUUUUAGUAGAGACGGGUUUCACCGUGUCAGCCAGGAUGGUCUCGAUCUCCUGACCUCGUGAUCUGCCCGCCUCAGCCUCCC
rnacentral:lncRNA from 10 species